ACUCAACACUUAUCAAAUUAAAAAGAGCGAGUCAUAAAUUCUAAAGUAGGCCAAUUAUUUUGGAAACUUGAACAUUUAGUUAGCUCUAAACCUGAAAAUCAGGAGUUU
rnacentral:sRNA from 1 species